rnacentral:rRNA from 1 species
GACGAACGCUGGCGGCGUGCUUAACACAUGCAAGUCGAACGGAAAGGCCCUGCUUUUGUGGGGUGCUCGAGUGGCGAACGGGUGAGUAACACGUGAGUAACCUGCCCUAGACCUUGGGAUAACUUCAGGAAACUGGGGCUAAUACCGGAUAGGAGCUCCUGCUGCAUGGUGGGGGUUGGAAAGUUUCGGCGGUUGGGGAUGGACUCGCGGCUUAUCAGCUUGUUGGUGGGGUAGUGGCUUACCAAGGCUUUGACGGGUAGCCGGCCUGAGAGGGUGACCGGCCACAUUGGGACUGAGAUACGGCCCAGACUCCUACGGGAGGCAGCAGUGGGGAAUAUUGCACAAUGGGCGGAAGCCUGAUGCAGCAACGCCGCGUGCGGGAUGACGGCCUUCGGGUUGUAAACCGCUUUCGCCUGUGACGAAGCGUGAGUGACGGUAAUGGGUAAAGAAGCACCGGCUAACUACGUG